GCUGUGGAGAAGGAAAAAUUCUAGAAUGCAACGGGUAUAUUAGUGACGUGGCGUAACAAACCAAUCAAAUUAAUCCUUUUAAGAAUAUAUGUCCCAUCAUGAUUGUAAAAAAGUAUUUUUAUUGUACUUUUGUUUGAAAAGAAGGAAUGUGAUUGGCUUGUUAUUGAUGACGUGGUGCAAGUGUGACAGUGUAGAAUUCCUCGUG
rnacentral:lncRNA from 1 species